rnacentral:lncRNA from 1 species
CGGUCCACAUUGGUUGCCAAUUGAAAGGAGGAAGGUUUUGCAUGAUCCAAUGACUGAAAAUUAUUUGGAGGUUGAUCCAAUGGUUGACAUUGUUUUCAAGUUUGAAUAAGAAAUCUAGGGUGCUAAUCGACAACCCAGAUUCGAUCCGAUGUGAGAUCUGAUGGCUGGCAGUGUUCUUGACUUUGUUAAGGAGAUAAAAGGUGCCAUUCGAUGGCCAGAAUUCCAUCUGGAGUGAGAUCGAAUGGUUGAAAAUGAAUCAGAUCGUAAGAAGGAUUUAAAUAGUGGUUUUUGAUCAGAUCUUGGUGGUCCAAGGAAGAUCCGAUGGCCAAAAUUAAAUGAUACGAGUAUAAUAUGUUUUCUAAGGGUUUUAGGACUCCUUUUACUAUC